rnacentral:rRNA from 1 species
AUUGAACGCUAGCGGCAGGCUUAACACAUGCAAGUCGAGCGGGGGAAGGUAGCUUGCUACCGGACCUAGCGGCGGACGGGUGAGUAAUGCUUAGGAAUCUGCCUAUUAGUGGGGGACAACAUCUCGAAAGGGAUGCUAAUACCGCAUACGUCCUAUGGGAGAAAGCAGGGGAUCUUCGGACCUUGCGCUAAUAGAUGAGCCUAAGUCGGAUUAGCUAGUUGGUGGGGUAAAGGCCUACCAAGGCGACGAUCUGUAGCGGGUCUGAGAGGAUGAUCCGCCAAAGCGGGACUGAGACACGGCCCAGACUCCUACGGGAGGCAGCAGUGGGGAAUAUUGGACAAUGGGGGGAACCCUGAUCCAGCCAUGCCGCGUGUGUGAAGAAGGCCUUAUGGUUGUAAAGCACUUUAAGCGAGGAGGAGGCUACUUUAGUUAAUACCUAGAGAUAGUGGACGUUACUCGCAGAAUAAGCACCGGCUAACUCUGUGCCAGCCGCCGCCGUAA